rnacentral:lncRNA from 10 species
UUAGCCAAACAACCUUUAAUUCAUUGAGCUCAAAGCUUAGCAGCUUCAAUGUUGUUGUUAGGCAUAAACAGCUUGCAAAUUUCAAUUUUUUUUCUCUCCUCACUUUUGAACUAGAUUUGGGCAAUGGAGGUGAUGACAGCAUUUUAGAAGACAGAACAGGAAUUCUAGGUGUUUAGGCACGUUGAAGAGAAACUUGCUAGAGGUGAUGAAGUGGAAAGAAAAAGACAAUUCACUAUAGGGAUCAACAUUAUUGCAGUUCUGCAAAGGAUAUUUUCUUUUAAAACAUCCAUAUCUCUUCUUUGCCAUGGAAACUACACCCAAUCUACCUGAACCUGCGGCACCCCUCUGAUGACCCAUUUGGAUUCUCUGAUUUCACUGCCAAGAUUCUCAAUGGAGUUUCACUCUGUCGCCCAGGCUGGAGUGCAGUGGCACGAUCUCGGCUCACUGCAAGCUCCGCCUCCCGGGUUCACACCAUUCUUCUGCCUCAGCCUCCCGAGUAGCUGGGACUACAGGUGCCCACCACCACGCCUGGCUAAUUUUUUUGUAUUUUUAAUAGAGACGGGGUUUCAUCAUGUUAGCAGGAUGGUCUCGAUCUCCUGACCUGGUGAUCCACCCACCUCGGCCUCCCAAAGUGCUGGGAUUACAGGCAUGAGCCACUGCGCCUGGCCUAGUUAUGCUAUCUUUCAAAGAAAGACCAAUUUCAACUAUUUCAUGACCAUGCACUUACACAAUCUGUGGAAUUAUCUUUGGUGAUAAAAAGUUGUGUAAUUUGUAUUCUCUUCAGAUAGGCAAAGAGUGACUGGAUAACCGAUUUGCGACAUGCCACUCAUGAUAUUUCCAAAGCCUAUGGACAUUUGACUUUGGAAACAGGGUCAGCUUAGUCUUCAGACACCGUAUUUGCUUAGGAUAAUUUUGUUUGUUUGUUUUUUCAGACAGAGUCCCACUCUGUCACCCAAGCUGGAGUGCAGUGGCACAAUCUUGGCUCACUGCAACCUCUGCCUCCCAGGUUCAAGCGAUUCUCUUGCCUCAGCCUCCUGAGUAGCUGGGACUACAGGCGUGCACCACCACACCCAGCUAAUUUUUGUGUUUUUAGUAGAGAUGGGUUUUCACCAUGUUGGCCAGGCUGGUCUCGAACUCCUGACCUCAGGUGAUCCACCCACCUUGGCUUCCCAAAGUGCUGGGAUUAUAGGCAUGAGCCACUGUGCCUGGCUAGCUUAGGGUAAUAUUUUUUUUUUUUUUGAGAUGGAGUCUCGCUUUGUCGCCCAGGCUGGAGUGCAGUGGCACAAUCUCGGCUCACUGCAAGCUCCGCCUCCCAGGUUCAUGCCAUUCUCCUGCCUCAGCCUCCCGAGUAGCUGGGACUAUAGGCGCCCGCCACCAUGCCGGGCUAAUUUUUUUGUAUUUUUAGUAGAGACAGGGUUUCACUGUGUUAGCCAGGAUGGUCUCGAUUUCCUGACCUCGUGAUCUGCCCGCCUGGGCCUCCCAAAGUGCUUGGAUUAGAGGCGUGAGCCACCGUGCCGGGCCGCAGCUUAGGGUAAUGUUUUUAAAGGAACUUAGUGAUCAUUUUUCUGUCUUGAAGACUCAUAUAGUCAAGUUGGAGUUAUACCAACUAUGGCAUGAUGUAACGUUACCUUUUAGAGACAAUUUGGUUGUUUCCUGAGGUAUGAAAACUGCAGUCUGCUCUUCAGUGUGCACGCUCCUUGCCCAACAAAACCAUCGGCAUUCUUGAAAGUUCUGCCUGAGUAUAGCACCUUUAUUCCUGUGGAGGUAUAGUGCAUUCUAACUACCAUGAAUAGUGUCCACUGUGAUCAUUUCCCUCUGCACGAUUAUCUGCCCACAACUGAGAGAGUCUUAACUUGCUAGAAUAAUGGGGACGCUUCACUAUCUGUCAGUUUCCCAAUAUGGCAAUUCAGUUCAUUGUAUGACAGCAUCAUCAGAAUGUUGCCAAGAUCAUAAAAAUAGCAGUGCAUGUUGCCUGAUGAUUUUACAGUGCAUAUUGUCAUGGCCAGGGCUUAGAGGUAGGGGAAAAACAUGUGGACAGCUUUGUGACAAGAGUCUCUCUUAUAGUGUUUCUUUCUAAAGUAACUUUUUCUGAGUAUGAAUGUGAAAGGUAGCCUUCUUUGAAUUAAAAAAUAUUCUGAAAAAUG